AAUCACAUAACAGGGAGCUUGCAGAAGCAGGCUGAGAGGAGACUGAUACUGUCUCGACCGAUACCUGAUGUGGAUAAUGCCAACGUAGGGAAAUAAUCUGCAUUCUGCCA
rnacentral:ncRNA from 1 species